rnacentral:misc_RNA from 1 species
CAUGCCUCUUCAGUUUUCUGGUGCGAGCAUUCGCUUGCCCGAAGUCGGUUUAUUCCUGUAUUGAAUACCCGUAUUCAAGGCACUGUGUUGGAUAAAUUGUCCCUUUCCCGCCUUGUGCUGCUGCCCACCAGUGGGCGGUUGGUGCGGGGUGGGCCAAACAGGGCAUGCCGUUUGUCCCAUCYCACUGCCCUCAUAAAAGGGCAUUCGGGCUGAUGACACUCGACAUGCUACUCGUUCUCUUGGGUCCGGAACAUUGCGUGGGUACGGGGCCACUGGCCUCGAAGCACCACAAACAAAGCGUUCUACGCUUCGUGCGAACGACAGUUGGUUYGGCCUCUGGCUGGGCACUCGUUGCCUG